rnacentral:pre_miRNA from 1 species
AUGCAAAUCACCUGAGGAUCUCGUUAAAAUGCAGAGUCUGAUUUAGUAGGUCUGGGAUGGAACUCGAGAUUCUACAUUUCUAACAAGCUCCAACGAAAUGCAGAU